rnacentral:rRNA from 1 species
UACGUAGGGUCCGAGCGUUGUCCGGAAUUACUGGGCGUAAAGAGCUCGUAGGUGGUUUGUCGCGUUGUUCGUGAAAACUCACAGCUUAACUGUGGGCGUGCGGGCGAUACGGGCAGACUAGAGUACUGCAGGGGAGACUGGAAUUCUUGGUGUAGCGGUGGAAUGCGCAGAUAUCAGGAGGAACACCGGUGGCGAAGGCGGGUCUCUGGGCAGUAACUGACGCUGAGGAGCGAAAGCAUGGGGAGCGAACAGG